rnacentral:sRNA from 1 species
CAGCCUCCCUAUAUCCGGCUGUGCCUGC